GAAGGAACUGGAAAUAAGAGUAAACCCAUGGUCUAGAAAUGUUAUGUGUCCACUGCAGACCACUGGCUUCCUUAUGGAGUUCUUGAUGGAAAUGAAGAUGUUUCUUCAAGGCAGCUUUUUUCCUGAGGAGACAACCCCACCCCCAAUUCCAAUAAUGAUUAAGCACCCUAGAAAUUGUCCUCAUAAGCCAGCAGGAUAACUUUAGAUUCAAAUGACUUUGGGCUGUUGAUCUUGGAUUUUAGUGGAAGAUCGUACUCUUCAUUUAGCAAAUUUACACACAAGGUUUGGAGUACCAUGAGCCUCCUAUUGGAAUAGUAAAAGGGAAGGCAUAAUUCACAGUUCUUAUACUGCUAGAAAGGACUCCCUCAUUUAAGAGAUGAGGAAACAGGCUAGGUGCACUGGCUCAUGCCUGUAAUCCCAGCACUUUGGGAGGUAGAGACGAGCAGAUAGGCCAGGUGUUUGAGAUCAGCCUGAGCAACAUGGUGAAACCCCGUCUCUACUAAAAAUACAAAAACUGCGGUGGCAGCACCACUCAGGCGUUGGGUGAUGCUAGAUGGAUGGACUGUCACGUGAUGCGAAGUGGCUCCAAACAGGAAGAGGACGGAAAAGAGAACCGUCCCCAAUGCCGAGAUGAACCGGACCUGCAGUCACCAUGAACAGCAAAGGUGAAUAUCUGACACAGCCAACCUAUCCCGUGCAGCCUCCUGGGAGUCCAGUAUACCCUCAGACCUUGCAUGUUUUACAGGCUCCACCCUAUACUGAUGCUUCACCUGCCUACUCAGAGCUCUAUCGUCCAAGCUUUGUGCACCCAGGGGCUGCCACAGUCCCCACCACAUCAGUCGCAUUUUCUGGAGCCUCUCUGUAUCUUCCCAUGGCCCAGUCUGUGGCUGUUGGGUCUUUAGGUUCCACAAUCCCCAGGGCUUAUUAUCCACUUGGUCCCAUCUAUCCACCUGACUCCACAGUGCUGGUGGAAGGAGGGUAUGAUGCAGGUUUCAGAUUUGGAGCUGGGGCUACUGCUGGCAACAUUCCUCCUCCACCUCCUGGAUGCCCUCCCAAUACUGCUCAGCUUGCAGUCAUGCAGGGAGCCAACGUCCUUGUAACUCAGUGGAAGGGGAACUUCUUCAUGGGUGAUUCAGAUGGUGGCUACACCAUCUGGUGAGGAACCAAGGCAGCCUUUGUGCCGGGAAAGACAUCACAUAACUUCAGCACUUCUCACAAUGUAACUGCUGUAGUCAUAUUAACCUGAAGUUGCAGUUUAGACACAUGUUGGAAUGUCUUUCUGAUGCCCAAACUUUCAAGCACUUUCCAAAUUGAAUAGGGAACCAUGUAAUGGCAGCAGUACCUCCCUAAAGCAUUUUGAGGUAGGGGAGGUAUCCAUUCAUAAAAUGAAUGUGGGUGAAGCUGCCCUAAGGAUCUUCCUUUAACUUCUCUGGAGUAAUAUUGUACCAUACUGGUCUUUGCUGUUAGUAAUAAAACAUCAAAUUAGGUUUGGAGGGAACUUUGAUCUUCCUAAGAAUUAAAGUUGCC